AAAGUGCGGGAAAUUAAAAGGAGAAAGUUUUGUGAAUAAUUGUAUUUAUUAUUUGGCACAUUUAAUUGAUGCCAUGUUUUAAACCCGGCAAUGUUGAGAUAGUUCCUUUGUUCAGAGUUUGUCUGGUUACCAGGGACUGAUUCAUGGUGACAUCAACAUCCGUUGUUCACUGUUGCUACCUAAUAUUCCUAAUUUCUCCAAAAAAUAUUAGUCCUAUUAAUUUUGCAUUUUCUCUGUGAA